UGAAGUGUUAUGUUUGAUAGACGAAGAAACCAAUGAAGAAUUCGACCUAAUAGUAACCAGCGCGGAUGCAACCAGAGCACGAAACGAUUCAACUUUUGCUAUGCAAUUAUUGCAGCAGGCAAGAACUCAACGAAUAAGUUGUACUACAUCACAAGCAAGUCCUAGUAGCAGUCAGAUCAGUAGUACCAGUAGCAACAAGAAGCUGUCAGUCUGAAUACAAGUGCAGAAGGUACACAUGCAUGGACAAAACAAGAAACUCUUUUAUUAUUGGAACUAUAUCGUCAACAUCAGGCUAAAUUUGUUGGUGGAAAAGGUACAAUAAAGAAACAUUGGGAUUAUAUUGCAAGUCUUAUGCAAGAAGAAGGACAUAGCAUAAGUGGUAUGAAAUGCACAACAAAAUUACAAUCUUUAAAAUGAACAUAUAAAUGUAUUAUGGAUCACAACAAGAAAAGUGGUAAUAAUCGGA